CUCUGGAAAUAUAAACAUGUCAGACAUAGAUGUGGAAAUUGUUUCACUAGGACUAGAAUCUACAUUUCUUAAAAUGUCAAGAAUGCCAUAAAACAAAUACCAGUUUUUCUAUCAUGCUUCUAACAAUUUUCACUAUAGCAUUGAAAUAUUCAGAGCACCUAUUUAACUCAGAAGCUAUUAUGCAGUCUUUUCUGAAUGAAGGCAGUAAUGAUUCCUUAUAAUAGAGUUUAUUAUAUGAAAUUAGUAAAUUCUUAGACCUCAAAACGUACUAUGUACCAUAAAAUCAUGAUAUAACAUAGUUAGUCUACAUUUUGAGGUUAGCUCAGUUCCCCUCAAUUAUCAUUAUAAAAAGUUUCACCUUGAAGAAAGAGCAGCUUAAUUUGUAAAACAGUCUAUAUGCUGCCUAACUUAAACAAAGACAGAAAAGCAAAAAGAUGGAAUGUGGCUUUGAUGAAACCCUGGCACAGAAUACAAAGCAGCAGUGAGCCCUAAACAUAAUUGCAUUUCAUCUAAUAAUUACAGGUGAUAUUAACUGUUUUAGGAAAGAAUAAUAGGAAUGAAUCAAGCCUGUCUCAGGCUAGCAUUUUGAUGUGAGUUUUUAACACAAACAAAAUGUGGUAUUUUUGGUUUUGGGCAUGAAUGUGUAUGUUGAUGGNNNNNNNNNNNNNNNNNNNNNNNNNUAUAUUUAUAAUAUAACCAUUUUCCUUUUCAAACACUUUAUUAAACCACCUUCCUUUCCUUACAUUAAUCAUUAGGCUUCCAGAUCUCCUGAUCCCGUACCCUGGCCAGUCAGUGUCUUUCUCAGGAAUUUUAGAAAUGGGAACAAAGACCAUUUUCCUUCUCUCAUUCUGAAUCGCUGAGGCUGUAAGAUGUGUACUGAGAGAGUGUUGGCAUUCAUGUUUCUUAUCAUGUAGAAGAUGAAACACGAGCCCAGAGGAAAAGAAGACAGACAAGCGUCGUUGGUUCCAGUUGUCCUCAGGUUCUCUGCCAGAUUUCUGUUCUUGGAUUGUGUAAGACACCCUGCAAUCCUGAUUUCCUCUUUUUGGUCCAACUGGUUUGAGUUUCUAUCAUAUGCAGCCAAGCAGUUUCUGACUAUUGUAAUCCUCACUACUACCCUAUGUGACCCCUUCCAUGACUUCAGGCUCUUCACUCAACUUCCUGAGCUUUGUUUAUGUUUCUUCCCUCACACCUCUGCACAGAGACCUUCACCAGUCUCUCCUUUUAUGAGGGUCAAUACUUACUAGCAUCCAGCUCAAGCUCCACUUGCUGUAUAUAUCUUUUCCUAGUUACCUGGGCAUCCGUUGUAUUAUCGGCACUUUUUUUCUCAGUAAAUGCUCACUGAUAUUUUUCCUCAAACUGAAUUUUAAACUCCUUGAGGCCUGAGACAAUAUAACCUACGUUUGUGUCUCUCCAGUGCCUUAAACAUUAUAUGUGCUUGAUUUUGAUAAAAACGAUGUUACCAACUGUUGUUUUAUAGUUCUAUGAUAAUUUAAAAAAUACAAUUUAAAUGGAAAAUGAAAUUAAAUAUAAUGAACUCAUGUUUGCUGAGUACAAUUAUUUUACUAUUAGAUUAAAUUAAAUAGCAAUAGUUCUUACAGUGAUGUGCUUUAUAUAAAGAUACUACUGUGUGAUGUAUGCACACACUGUUUAGCAAGGAGAAUGUGUUUUGGGAAAUAGGACCACUAGCAAUGUCAUAUAAGGUUGUUGUAGCACAGCUGUCAAUACUAUGAGUUCCUAGCAUUUUAUGUUGACAAUGCUUUUUCCAUUCUCUUAAAAUGACUUGAAGUCAAGAUUGCUUCUGGGCCUGUUUUCUUUGAUGUGUUUUUUUCAACAAUGACAGAUCAGUUAUCCCAAACCACAGAGAUGUUUAUAUUGCCAUUCUUAAUAUCUCUGUAUUUCCACCAAUCCCUGAACUGUCUGCCUAGCUUCAUCCUAUGUUUCCACAUCUAUUUCUUUGAGGGUAACAUCUGCUGCCUUACAACUUAUAUAAAUACAGCAUCCAACACGAUACUUUCCUUGCUGUCCUUGGGGAAGUCCAACUGUAUCACUUUCAAACAUUUUGUGAGCCAGUAAGAGUAAAAAUCUUGACCAGACCCAAAAUAAUUGGUGGAAAUAAAGACUGCGGAGAGAGGAGCCAUGCAGAACAUACUAGCUAUAGGAAAGCAAGCAACAGACUCAGGUAAGGGUUUUUUCAGUAUGUCAGUUGUUUAGUUGCUAAAUCAUGUAGGUGCAACUCUUGGGACCCCAUGGACUGUAAUCCACCAGACUCCUCUGUCCAUAAGACUUCUCAGGCAAGAAUGCUGGAGUGGGUUGCCUUUUCCUUCUCCAAGAGAUCUUUCCCACCCAGGAAUCGAACCUAUGUCUUCUGCAUUGCUGAAGUGAAUUCUUUUAAUACUGAGUCACCAGGGAAGUAUGUCAGUAUGUCUCAAUUCUUGUUGGCUUAGAGCCUGUGUAGAUAAUACUCAGAGCAUGGGGAAAAUGUUCAGUGAUAGAGAUCUGAAAUAGUGUACAUAUAUUGAUAUAUGUGCCUGUGAUCUGGGAAAGUAUUUCAGAAAAAAUUUGCUUUAUUACAAAUUAAGUGCAGAUAAAUAGCAUUAAACCUGGUAAUUUGAAUAGAAAAAAGGAGAAAUUAAAAGUAAAUAUACACUCAAUAACUUACAAGUUUGCCUUUUUUGUUAAAUGCAAAUGGAAGAUUCAAAAUUCAGGAGGUUGCUUUAGGCUUGUGCAAAGAAAUGAAAGAUGUUCAACAUCGCGAAUCAUCAAAGGCAAACAAAAAACCACAAUGAGAUANNNNNNNACACCUAUAAGAAUGGCUAUCAUCAAAAAGACCACAGAUAAAAAUGCUAGCAAGAAUGUGGAGAAAAGGCAACUCUGGCACACUGUUGGUGGGGAUGUAAAUUGGUGUAACCACUAUGGGAAACAGUAUGGAAGUUUCUCAGAAAACUCAAAGUGGAACUACCAUGUGAUCCAGCAAUUCAACUCCUGGAUAUAGAUCCAAAGAAAACAAAAA
rnacentral:lncRNA from 1 species